rnacentral:rRNA from 1 species
UACGGAGGGGCUAGCGUUGUUCGGAAUUACUGGGCGUAAAGCGCACGUAGGCGGACCAUCAAGUUGGGGGUGAAAUCCCGGGGCUCAACCCCGGAACUGCCUCCAAAACUGGCGGUCUGGAGUCCGAGAGAGGUGAGUGGAAUUCCGAGUGUAGAGGUGAAAUUCGUAGAUAUUCGGAGGAACACCAGUGGCGAAGGCGGCUCACUGGCUCGGUACUGACGCUGAGGUGCGAAAGCGUGGGGAGCAAACAGGAUUAGAUACCCCCGUAGUCCCUGAGCGGGCUGG